rnacentral:rRNA from 1 species
AACGAACGCUGGCGGCAGGCUUAACACAUGCAAGUCGAACGGGCCCUUCGGGGUCAGUGGCAGACGGGUGAGUAACGCGUGGGAACGUUCCCUUCAGUUCGGAAUAACCCAGGGAAACUUGGGCUAAUACCGGAUACGCCCUAACGGGGAAAGAUUUAUCGCUGAAGGAUCGGCCCGCGUCUGAUUAGCUGGUUGGUGAGGUAACGGCUCACCAAGGCGACGAUCAGUAGCUGGUCUGAGAGGAUGAUCAGCCACAUUGGGACUGAGACACGGCCCAAACUCCUACGGGAGGCAGCAGUGGGGAAUAUUGGACAAUGGGCGCAAGCCUGAUCCAGCCAUGCCGCGUGAGUGAUGAAGGCCUUAGGGUUGUAAAGCUCUUUCGGCGGGGACGAUAAUGACGGUACCCGCAGAAGAAGCCCCGGCUAACUUCGUGCCAGCCGCCGCCGUAAUAC